rnacentral:rRNA from 1 species
CCUACGGGAGGCAGCAGUGAGGAAUAUUGGACAAUGGGCGAAAGCCUGAUCCAGCAAUACCGCGUGAGUGAAGAAGGCCUUAGGGUUGUAAAGCUCUUUCAGCAGGGAAAAUAAUGAUGGUACCUGCAAAAGAAGUUCCGGCUAACUCCGUGCCAGCAGCCGCGGUAAUACGGAGGGAACUAGCGUUGUUCGGAUUUACUGGGCGUAAAGGGCGCGUAGGCGGUUUGUUAAGUUAGAAGUGAAAGCCUGGGGCUUAACCCCAGAACUGCUUCUAAAACUGGCAGACUAGAGUGUGGGAGAGGAUAAUGGAAUUCCUAGUGUAGAGGUGAAAUUCUUAGAUAUUAGGAGGAACACCGGUGGCGAAAGCGAUUAUCUGGAACACAACUGACGCUGAGGCGCGAAAGCGUGGGGAGCAAACAGGAUUAGACUACCCGUGGUAGUCCACGCUAGUAAACGAUGAAUGCUAGAUAUACGGUAGUAAAGUUACGGUUAGUACGUAAGAUAACUUAGUAUAAGUACAUUACCGUCCGUCGGGUAGGUACGGUCGGUCGAGAAUUAAACUAACAAAGAAGUUAGUACGGACGUGAGACGNGCCGAACGGACGACGACGAGGGAGGUAGG